rnacentral:rRNA from 1 species
UACGAAGGGUGCAAGCGUUAAUCGGAAUUACUGGGCGUAAAGGGUGCGUAGGCGGUUGUUUAAGUCUGUCGUGAAAUCCCCGGGCUCAACCUGGGAAUGGCGAUGGAUACUGGGCAGCUAGAGUGUGUCAGAGGAUGGUGGAAUUCCCGGUGUAGCGGUGAAAUGCGUAGAGAUCGUGAGGAACAUCAGUGGCGAAGGCGGCCAUCUGGGACAACACUGACGCUGAAGCACGAAAGCGUGGGGAGCAAACAGG